rnacentral:rRNA from 1 species
GACGAACGCUGGCGGCGUGCUUAACACAUGCAAGUCGAACGGAGUUACGUAUGAAGUAUUUCGGUACGGACUAUGUAACUUAGUGGCGAACGGGUGAGUAACACGUGGGCAACCUGCCUUUAACCGGGGGAUAACAUUGUGAAAACAGUGCUAAUACCGCAUAACAGAGUAUCGGGCAUCCGAUAUUUUUAAAGGAGCAAUCCGGUUUAGGAUGGGCCCGCGUCCAAUUAGCUAGUUGGUGAGGUAACGGCUCACCAAGGCUACGAUUGGUAGCCGAACUGAGAGGUUGAUCGGCCACAUUGGGACUGAGACACGGCCCAGACUCCUACGGGAGGCAGCAGUGGGGAAUAUUGGGCAAUGGGCGAAAGCCUGACCCAGCGACGCCGCGUGAAGGAUGAAGGUCUUCGGAUUGUAAACUUCUUUGAUCAGGGAAGAAAGAAAUGACGGUACCUGAAGAACAAGCCACGGCUAACUACGUG